CAGUAUUACUCACUGUCCUUAUGGAAGGGUGUUAAAGUUGGAACCAGUUCAGAGAAGGAGCGCUGCUGUCCCAAACUCAGUGCCAGUUUUGUGCGUCAAAUUGGUACUAAUUGAUCACAUUUUCCAGUCCAGAUUCUGCUUCUUCUCUGACAGCCCAGGCUUGGGUUGACCUGCAUCCACAUCAGGGAUUGGAAUUGGGAUUUGUGGCUGUGUUCCAUGAAGGUAAAUGUAAGACAGAGAAGGCAUCGAUGUAAUGGGGACCAGGUCAUACUGUAUUGGACUGAUGUCCUGCAGAACCAUGUCAGAAAUGUUGCAGAGCCCCA